CCUGCCCCUAGAGUUUUACAGGUGAUGAGGCUGUAUCCUAUGUGCAUCAAUAGUUGGCAGAGAAGAGAGAGGCCAUGUCUACACUCAGUGCUCUGACCUGUGACCAUCUGAAUGAUUAGUAGCUAAAUAUU